UGUUCUGUGGCUUGGUUGGUUGAAGCGCCGGUCCAGUGCAUACGGAGUCGUGGGUUCAAAUCCCACCAGAACGC
rfam:Aedes albopictus isolate Foshan contig128557, whole genome shotgun sequence.